rfam:Brachypodium distachyon strain Bd21 chromosome 1, whole genome shotgun sequence.
GAUCUACUCCCUCCGAUCCAUAUUACUUGUCGCAGUUUUGUCUAUAUACGCAUAUAUCUUAAAGCGUUUCAUUGUGUUGGUACAUGCUUAUCUAGAGAAAACUGUGACAAGUAAUAUGGAUCGGAAGGAGUGCUUA